ensembl:processed_transcript Gm10030 predicted gene 10030
AGAAGGUUCUUGUCUGGUAUGAGGGUCCAUUUGUGCCAGGGUUUCACCUCUUGCAUUAGCUCCUGGAACACAUGUCGCCAUUGCUCUGUGUCUCCUAUGUCUUCUUCCAUCAUGGCUACAGUGCUGGGUCCAGGCUGGGGCAGGGUCUUCUGGGUCCAGAAAGAUCUGUGGCAAGAGGGGAAUUGUUCACUCAGACAGCAAGGCUUCAGGCUGGCAGUCCCUCUGAGGACCUGAAUUGGGACUGUAGUUCAGAUCCUUCUGUCCCAGGGACAAAGGUCAGUUGAGUCUGUUCCCAAGUUCAGAGGACAGCAGUGGACAACCACAAGAAAUCACAAAACUCCAAGCUUUGGUUUUUAAGGUCUCAAUACACUAGUGAGGGAGAAAGUUCUGGAGUCCAAAGCAGGGAUGAGCGGCCUCUGGCAGAGUCUCUGAAAGGGCUGGAGGCUACUCUUGCCUUUUCUGGUUUUAACAUUUGGAAAUCUUCAUCUUUUGUGCUGCUGAGCUCCUACUUGAGGCAAAAGAGGCCUCCCUGGGAGUCCCACACUCUGGGAAGUCCUCAGUCACACCUAGUAUCUCAGGAGGAUGGUGGGUGAUCUGUAGACAUCCAGCUGUUCCCCGCGCCCACCAACCACAGCCUGACCCCGGAGGUCUCCGGCCCAACCAAAUUUUCCACUUACCAGAAAUCGAAGCUGGUGCAGCCAGUGUUUGCCUGGGAGAUUAGGUGAUGUGUCCCUAGAUGAGUGGAAGGCUGCUGGUCCAAGACCAACAGGAACCCAUUGCCUUCCUCCACAAGAAGGUUGGCUCACUAUCACCCUAAACCGAGGAAGGCAGAGAGGAGCACAGUUGGAUCAGGCAGUACUCUAUUUAAGGCAGACAAGAUUGGGAGUGUCUACACCCCGAGAUUCCAUCCACAGAUAGGGUGGGUCUUCCUAUCAACUGAUUGCCCUGGCUGCUUCCCAAACUGGACGCUCCGCAGCCUGGAAGAAAAGAAGGAAACCAGGGGGGAGGGGCUUCCUGUGGUUUGGAAACUGAGUUUCUCCAGGCUUCUCCCGACCGCCUCUGCCCUACAUCACAGCUUUAUGGCCAGACUCACACCAUGGUCUUUUCUCCCUGCUUUCAUUUAGUUUCUCAAUGUUAUUUGCUCAGUUAUAAAUUAACUACAUCAUUUGGGAAGGUAGUUCAGUUUCUAUUUUUUGGCUCUCCCCCUUUUCAGCUUUUCACUAUGGGGUAUCCUUCUCUCCCCCACCCCCAACCCCCAGUUGCUUAUUCCGGCUUUCGAUAAAUAGGAGUUCUCUAUUUAUGGUCAAUGGUGCUAUGCUCCUCACAUGUUUGGGGUCUUUCCUAGAGGUCUCACUGUGUAAGACAGUCCCUAGGGCUGGUGCUGACAUAUUUCCGAGAGAAAGGAGGCUACUGUGUUUCUAAUAUGGAAAGUACAAAUGUUAGGGGAGUUUGUUCCUAGUUGUGGUGCCGGCUGUGGACUCACUGUUGAUAAGUCAACAACUGAACAUAAACUGGGUCAGCUUUAAACAAAGGUUUAAAGCUAGGCUUGCAUUAGCCUCUCCUGGGGAAAAGGGUGAAUGCCUAGUCACAGGGAUGUCACUGAGCUUGUACUGGUCAGGUGACUGAAGCACAAGCAGAGGACUGCUAGACCCUCACGUAGUCCCCUUAGGAGAAACGGCUCUGUGUUCAAGACAACAGUUAGGGCCUCCAUGUGCAGCAGGAAUUAACUAUGCCUUCCUUUGCUCACCUCGUGGUGGCUUGCCUCCUCUCCUGCAUUAUACAGGAGAGCUAAGUUGGUAGUGAAACUAAAUCUUUGCCUCUCUCCAAUUUUUUUUUUUAAGAAUUUCUUUUCUUUCUUUNNNNNNNNNNNNNNNNNNNNNNNNNNNNNNNNNNNAGUACACUGUCUUCAGACACACCAGAAGAGUGCAUCAGAUCCCAUUACAGAUGGCUGUGAGCCACCAUGUGGUUGCUGGGAAUUGAACUCAGGACCUUCAGAAGAGCAGUCAGUGCUCUUUACCUGCUGAGCCAUCUCUCCAGCCCCCUCUCUCCAAUUUUUGUUUAGAAUGUUACUAAAGCCUUAACUUAGUUAGCCAGCAAUCCUAUACCCUGCGGGUCCCCAAGACCAACAUCCAAGGUUCUCUCUUAUCAGCUCAGACCUCUGAGCCCAUGGUUAGGACUUGUGGACCUUUCCCAAGUGGGUUGAAUUGUGACAUCCCAAAUGAGGUAUCUACUUGUGAAUGUGUGUGGAAAACUUGAGUGUUUUCAGAUGUAAUUAAGGACCCGAGAGAAGAGAAGAGACCUUCUUUGCAAGAUUUAGAGUUUCUGUGGCUACCAGGACAUAGCAUAGCAGCAAGAAGACAGGUGAAAGGCCAAACUGCAUGUCACUCACAACCUGACCUGGAGAAGGAUGCCAGGCGAGCCUACACAGCGUGCCCAGGGACACGGAACAGCAAAGUGUAGCUACAGAGCACAGCAGGAGCAUCUUUAGGCUUGCAUUAGCCUCUCCUGGGAAAAUGAGCCGAUGUCUAGUCACUCCAGGUCAAAGUCCAGCAGCAGGCAUCUUUCCCAUGGUAUGCAGAGGGAGGUGUGACACAGAAGCACAGGAGAAGAACCAUCAGAGACACAAGCAGUGACUAGGCUUACAUUGUCACAAGCAAAGGAACACCUGGGACCCGAAGAGCAGAAGUUUCUCCCCGGACCCUCUGAAUGGGCAGAAGGACUGCAGACCACUUACUUUUGAACGUCUUGCUUGCAGAACCGUAAAUAACCACUCAUAAGCUUGGGUUGUGAAAUUCUCAGAGGCAAGCUCAUCACCAGAUGUGGCCCACAGAGAGAAGAGCCCCAGCCUGGCUCUGAGUCCACAUGCAAGGAAGGGCGACCAUGCCCAGAAGAGGAGACGAAUCUCCAUUGUGACGUUGCUAGAAGAUGCUUGGUGGGACAAUGUAGAAGGUUUCCUCCCUGGUUUCAGAGCAGGCUGCUGCAGUGCUGGGACUACGAACACGCCACCAUGCCCAGACUUAUUUCUUUCCAUAUGGAGUUGGAGAUCAAACUCAGGCCUCCACACUUUUGAGGUUACCUCCCUCCCCCAGCUUCCACCUGCCUUUAGCAAGGGACACCUUCCAUGAUAAACCAGGCAGGCCUGGCAUUUUCCACAAUCCCCACCUGAGUCUUCUGAUAGACCUGAGGAGAGGCAAAGUUCCUCAUAGACGGAUGCCGGGAACACACAAUGCAUGGGGAUGCCAUGGAGGACGGCAGAGAGGACUGAGGCCUUCAGCUCCCCUGAAGCAACAUUUACUUGACAUUGUAAACCGAGGGAUGCACACUGGGGAUGGGACUCUGACCCUCUGUGAGAACAGCCCAGGAACUGUGUGUUGCAUUGCGGAAACCCUCUGAAGGGUCAGCACUGUCGAAACAAAACAAAGUCAAAAUGAAGACCCCAGGCACCCAGUUUAAUGCAAGCUGGAGUUCAGAUGUUGUCUCAGAUAUGAUUCUUAUUCAGCCAGUCAGUAUGUGUUUCCUGAAAUCUCACUGGUGUCACAGAGAGACAGCAGAGUGAUAUGCGUUGGCGGCCGGAUGACUUGAAAUGGCACUGCAAACACAAGAUGAUUUUACUUACGAAAUAUGGAGUUUUCAUAAAAUAGUUUGGGAUGAAGGAGACGGAGAAAAAGAACAAUGGGAAACCCCAGAAGACAAAACCUUUAAAAGUUCUUACGUGCUUGGUAUGCCUCUCCCUACUAAAUGUAAAAGAAAUCCCCCCAAAUAAAUAGUUUAAGAAAGUUUUGUAAACAGCAACUUAAUAAAAUUUACCCUA